rnacentral:rRNA from 1 species
UACAGAGGGUGCGAGCGUUGUCCGGAAUCACUGGGCGUAAAGGGCGCGUAGGUGGCGCUCCAAGUCCGUGGUGAAAGCUCGAUGCUCAACAUCGAGUCGGCCACGGAGACUGGAGGGCUCGAGCACUGUAGGGGCAGAUGGAAUUCCGGGUGUAGCGGUGGAAUGCGUAGAGAGUCCGGAAGAACACCGGUGGCGAAGGCGGUCCGGCUGGGCAGUUG